rnacentral:rRNA from 1 species
GACGAACGCUGGCGGCGCGCCUAAUACAUGCAAGUAGAACGCACAGUUUAUACCGUAGCUUGCUACACCAUAGACUGUGAGUUGCGAACGGGUGAGUAACGCGUAGGUAACCUGCCUGGUAGCGGGGGAUAACUAUUGGAAACGAUAGCUAAUACCGCAUAAUAUUAAUUAUUGCAUGAUAAUUAAUUGAAAGGUGCAAUUGCACCACUACCAGAUGGACCUGCGUUGUAUUAGCUAGUAGGUGAGGUAACGGCUCACCUAGGCGACGAUACAUAGCCGACCUGAGAGGGUGAUCGGCCACACUGGGACUGAGACACGGCCCAGACUCCUACGGGAGGCAGCAGUAGGGAAUCUUCGGCAAUGGACGAAAGUCUGACCGAGCAACGCCGCGUGAGUGAAGAAGGUUUUCGGAUCGUAAAGCUCUGUUGUAAGAGAAGAACGGGUGUGAGAGUGGAAAGUUCACACUGUGACGGUAUCUUACCAGAAAGGGACGGCUAACUACGU